rnacentral:rRNA from 1 species
GUUCGGACUGUAGGCUGCAACUCGCCUACACGAAGUUGGAAUUGCUAGUAAUCGUGGAUCAGCAUGCCACGGUGAAUACGUUCCCGGGUCUUGUACACACCGCCCGUCACACCAUGGGAGCUGGUAACACCCGAAGUCAGUAGUCUAACCGCAAGGAGGACGCUGCCGAAGGUGGGGAUUAGCGACUGGGGGUGAAGUCGUAACAAGGUAGC